UCUUCUCUUUUUCUUCCUCCAUCGUGCCAUCUCCAGAACCACGAUCUUCUCCCUCUAAUUUGCCACCAAUAGUAACCACCACCAUGAUUCCCUCUUCUUCUUCUUCUCGUCCUCACCCAACCUACCUCAAUAGCUCACCCUAAAUUUUCUCGGCAUCACCAAAAUUUUCGCCGCUUUCACCAUCCUUUACGCUACCACUGCUAACAACUUCCUCUUCCUUGACUCGUAAGCCGUCCAAAGGCCUUUGUCCUGC
rnacentral:lncRNA from 1 species